UACAGAGGGUGCGAGCGUUAAUCGGAAUUACUGGGCGUAAAGCGUGCGUAGACGGUAAUGUAAGUCAGAUGUGAAAGCCCCGGGCUCAACCUGGGAAUUGCAUUUGAGACUGCAUUGCUUGAGUGCGGAAGAGGGAAGCGGAAUUUCCGGUGUAGCGGUGAAAUGCGUAGAUAUCGGAAGGAACACCAGUGGCGAAAGCGGCUUCCUGGUCCGACACCGACGUUCAGGCACGAAAGCGUGGGGAGCAAACAGG
rnacentral:rRNA from 1 species